UGCCAAGGUGAUGCUCCUUUCACAUAAGGAAUAAUGUUGAAAUUAUUCUAGUAUGUACUGUAAUUAAUUAGAAUUCUAUGUUAUGGUAGCAGCAAGGAAACAGAUCCAGUUCUCCUGAAUGUGUAGGAUUCCUCUGUGGGUGUUUAUCUUUAUUUAAAUAUGAACAAGAAGCUUUGUUGCAAAUGUAUGAGAUGCCUUCAGCAAGUGAAUUAGGAGUACUACCUGGUGAAGAAUAAGCUUGAAUCUUUAUUUAGGCACGUACUGGAAAUCUGAGGAUGAAGUUGCGAUGCCCGGUCUUGGUGGGGAAGCUGAUACUUAUCCAUGUCUCCUUCACAAUCAACCUCAUCUGACCUGAAUCGAAAUCCCAGCUCGAUCUGUUUAAUUCGUGAGUUCAAUGAUUUACUUUUAUCCUGCAAUAAUACGAUGAAUGGGAUUAGAAAACUGUCUGUACACUGUAUAUUAGUAUACCCUAUACCCGAUUCUUUUGUAGUUCAUCUCUAUAUGUAUCUUGGACUAUCUCAA